UGCUAUGUAUUCAUUGUCCAAAAUUUGU
rnacentral:piRNA from 1 species